GGACCAUAUCAACUUGCAAUGUUUGCACUACAAACUAGAACAAAUAAAUGCCACGUGAAAUCCUACACGACAGCUAAGUUGCGGAGUACUGGUGAUAUAUGUGGUCCAUUGGGCGUGAGAUGAGAAUCGGACGGCUUUGAGGCAAUGUCGUGAAGGGUCGAAGAAAGAAUAAGAACCGUUGGAUUAAUCUGCUAAAAAUAGACGGACAGGGUCCACGUCAAGACGUAAUGGGAAGGGGACCUCGUUACCCAAAAUAGAAAGAUGGAGUUAUCGUCAAACAAGUCACGUCUGGGUUUAUUGAGUGGGGUUAAGUUUUUGGACCAGUCUCUCUACUUUUUUUUUCACCCCUCCUCUAAUAUAUAGUAAG